ensembl:lncRNA
AUGGUGUUUCGCCAUUUUGGCCAGUCUGGUCUCAAACUCCUGACCUCAGGUGAUCCUCUGACCUCAGCCUCCCAAAGUGCUGGGAUUACAGGAACUAUUACAUGCCCUGAGAUACAGAAGCGCACAAGACCAACAAGAUCCAUGAGCUUACAUUUGAAGGCAAAGAAAGCUGGAAAAUCUGAUGAAACAGUCUUUAAAAUGUCCUCCACACAUGCAGAGGCUCACAUCUGUAAACCCAGCAUUUUGGGAGGCUGAGGUGGGCAGAUUGCCUGAGUUGAGGAGAUCAAGACCAGCCUGGGUAACAUGGUAAAACCCUGUCUCUACAAAAAAUACAAAAAUAUUAGCUGGGCGUGGUGGCACACUACUGUAGUCCCAACUACUUGGGGGGUGAGGUGGGAGGAUCACUUGAGCCUGGGAGUUUGAGGCUAGAGUGGGCAGAGAUGGUGCCACUGCACUACAGACUGGGUGACAGAGUGAGACCUUGUCUGAAAAAAAAAAUCACACCAAAAAAUAAAACAUCUUCCACCACACAAUGUGUUUAUCUUUAUUGUUUGAACUUUGAUGUCUUCUUUCUUUUUAUAUUUACUUAGCUAGUCAUGGCCACCAUGAUAAAGAACAGUUGCUAAAUUUAAGGAUCUCUUUCUACUUUCAGCAUAAUACCUUGAGUACAAGAUAAAUAUGAGCUUGAAUUGUGACUCUACUACCAAGUAUUUGUGAACAUUUGAAAAAACCAAAAAACCAUGCACCUUCCCUAUCUAUUUCCUUAUCAGUAAAAUAAAGGAGUUGCUUCAGCACGUUGACAAAAUAUCUUUUAGCUCGAAAGUUUUGCAGCCUUUCUCCAGGAGGCAUUGGGAGCUCCUAGUGAUUUCUUUCUUUCAUUGAUACAUAAUAUUUAUACAUAUUUAUGAGGUACAUGUAAUAUUGUGUUAUAUGCAUAGAAUGUGUAACAAUCAAGUCAGAGGUUUUAGAAUAUCUAUCACCUGGAGAUAUAUCAUGUAUCAUUUCUACGUGCUGUGAACAUUUCAAGUCCUCUCUUCUAACUAUUUCAAAAUAUACAAUAUACUGCCAUUAUCUAUAGUCACUCUACUAUCAAAUGUUAGCACUUAUAUUUUUGUAUGAUUAGAACUUAUUACUUUUAUCUAACCAUAUGUUUGUAUCUAUUAAUCAACCUGCCUUCACUGCCCCCAGUCCCCACCCUUCCCAGCCUUUAGUACGGGGGGCCCCAACCCCCAAGCCACGGGCUGGUGCUGGUUGGUGUUCUGUUAGGAACUGGGCUGCACAGCAGAAGGUGAGCAGUGGGUGAAUGAGCAUUACUGCCUGAGCUCCACUUCCUGUAAGAUCGGCAGUGGCAUUAGAUUCUCACAGGAGUGUAAACCCUGUUGUGAACUGUGCAUGUGAGGGAUCUAGGUUGCACGCUCCUUAUAAGAAUCUAAUGCCCGAUGAUCUGUCACUGCCUCCCAUCAUCCUCAGAUUUCCCCCGAGCAGAAAAACAAGCUCAGGGCUCCCACCGAUUCUACAUUAUGGUGAGUUAUAUAAUUAUUUCAUUAUGUAUUACAAUGUAGUAAUAAUAGAAAUAGAGUGCACAAUAAAUUUAAUGCACUUGAAUCAUCCCCAAACCAUCCCUGCCCCCACGGGUCUGUGGACAAACUGUCUUCCGUGAAACUGGUCCCUAGUGCCAAAAGGGCUGGGGACUGCUGCUCUAGUGUAUAUCAUUAUACUCUCCAUAUUCAUGAGAUCAGCUUUUUUAGUUCCCACAUAUGAGUAAGAAAACUGAAAUUUGUCUUGUGUGCAUGGCCUAUUUCAUGUAACAUAAUGACCCCCAGUUCCAUCCAUGUUGCUGCAAAUGACAUGAUUUUAUUCUAUUUUAUGGCCAAAUAGUAUUACAUUGUAUACAUAUACCGGUCUCCCUCCCUCCCUCCGUUCUUUCCUCCCUUCCUUCUUUCUUUCUUUCCUCCCUCUAUUCCUUCUUUCCUUCCUUCCUUCCUUCCUUCCUUCCUUCCUUCCUUCCUUCCUUCCUUUGUUUUUGUAGAGACAGAGUCUUGCUAUGUUUCCCAGGCUCGUCUGAAACUCCUGAGCUCAAGUGAUCGUCCUGUCUUGGUCUUCCAAAACUCUGGAAUGACAAGCAUGAGCCAUCAUAUCCAGUCUGUACUACAUGUUCUUUAUCCAUUCAUCUGUUGAUGGACAUUGAGGUUGACUCUGUAUCUUUGCUAGUGUAAAUAGUUCCCAGCAAGUUAUUAACAAACAUAUAGGCAUCUGCUUAAGAUGGCACCUGUUUUUAACUUAUAAUCUCUAUUAUUAAGUCAGUCUAUACUCACCUAGAUUUAUCUACUGACACAUAUACCUGGAUGCCCUUGACUGUCCCCUGUAACUCCAAACUUCAAAAUAUUCCCAUGUUCAUCUAUGUGAUUAAAAGCAGAAAAGACUGAGAAGAUUAAAAGGAGCAGUUCCAUUUUGUUACAUGAUUAAGUUUCAUUAUGUCAAUAGAAUUGGGCUGUUGGCCAAGCCUUAUAAUUGAUGGACUUGUUGGCCAAUUAGGAGGAACACAUCAACUUGUGUUAUUAAAUGGUGUCACUUCAGGUUUAACUGCUGUGAGAACAGACUUGCCUUGGAUCAACCUUUGAGUCUUUGACACUCACAAUCAUUACAAGGGUCUGACUGGAGGGAAGCCUAAGAUUUGGUUUCGCAUUGGGGAGCACAUGAGAAAGAGUACUUACCACUUCCUCCUUGGCAUGGGGUCCUUCAGACAGUUGAGGUUUUGACUUGUGGCCUGCUUUGCCUGCUCCUUUCUUCCCAAAUAGAUGA